rnacentral:rRNA from 1 species
GAUGAACGCUGGCGGCAUGCCUAACACAUGCAAGUCGAACGAAGUCAUAUGUGAAGUUUUCGGAUGGAAUAUAAGACUUAGUGGCGGACGGGUGAGUAACACGUAAGUAAUCAACCUAUAACACACGAAUAACUAAUAGAAAUGUUAGCUAAUACGAGAUAAAAUAUAUGAUAUGGGAAUAUUGUAUAUCAAAGCUGAGGCGGUUAUAGACGAGCUUGCGUCUGAUUAGCUAGUUGGUGGGGUAAGAGCCUACCAAGGCGACGAUCAGUAGCCGACCUGAGAGGGUGAACGGCCACAUUGGAACUGAGAGACGGUCCAAACUCCUACGGGAGGCAGCAGUGGGGGAUAUUGCACAAUGGGGGGAACCCUGAUGCAGCAAUGCCGCGUGAACGAAGAAGGCCCUAGGGUCGUAAAGUUCU